UACGAAGGGUGCAAGCGUUACUCGGAUUACUGGGCGUAAGCGUGCGUAGGUGGUGAGUUAAGUCUGAUGUGAAAUCCCCGGGCUCAACCUGGGAAUGGCAUUGGAUACUGGCUCGCUAGAGUGCGGUAGAGGGUGGUGGAAUUCCCGGUGUAGCAGUGAAAUGCGUAGAGAUCGGGAGGAACAUCGUGUGGCGAAGGCGGCCACCUGGCCA
rnacentral:rRNA from 1 species